rnacentral:rRNA from 1 species
GAUGAACGCUGGCGGCGUGCCUAAUACAUGCAAGUCGAGCGAAUGGAUUGAGAGCUUGCUCUUAUGAAGUUAGCGGCGGACGGGUGAGUAACACGUGGGUAACCUGCCCAUAAGACUGGGAUAACUCCGGGAAACCGGGGCUAAUACCGGAUAACAUUUUGAACCGCAUGGUUCGAAAUUGAAAGGCGGCUUCGGCUGUCACUUAUGGAUGGACCCGCGUCGCAUUAGCUAGUUGGUGAGGUAACGGCUCACCAAGGCAACGAUGCGUAGCCGAAUCGGGAAGGGGAUCGGCCACACUGGGACUGAGACACGGCCCAGACGCCUACGGGAGGUAGCAGUAGGGAAUCUUCCGCAACGGACGAACGUCUGACGGAGCAACGCCGCGUGAGUGAUGAAGGCUUUCGGGUCGUAAAACCCUGUUGUUAGGGAAGAACAAGUGCUAGUUGAAUAAGCUGGCAACUUGACGGUACCUAACCAGAAAGCCACGGCUAACUACGUGCCAGCCGCCGCAGUAA